UUCACUAUUGAUACCGCCAUUUUGUCGCUAUCACAUAUUGCCGUCAUACUGCCAGUUUUCUUCACCGUUUGCCUCACAGUUCGCUCAUCUCCAGCUGCUAUUACCAUGACGUCGUACACCCAAGGUAGAAGAUAAGUGUCGCCGGUCUCGUAACAGAUCACCGAACCAUAGUCAAAGAGAAUCUCUCCAGCUGAUGUGUAUCGCGUCUGUUAUAAACAUGUAACAGUGAAACAUUGUAAUAAACUUAUAAAGCUGAA